UCCGGUUUGACACCGGCAGUCUCGCUAGAGUCCUCAGCAUUACCUGGUAGCAACUAACGAUAGGGGUUUCGCUCGUUAAGGGACUUAACCCGACACUUCACAGCACGAGCUGACGACAGCCAUGCAGCACCUGUGUAUGUUGUACCCGUAAGGGCCUCAGUGAUGUUUCCACCACCUAAUCCAUACAUGUCAAGCCCAGGAUAAGGUUCUUCGCGUUGCUUCGAAUUGAGCCACAUGCUCCACCGCUUGUGUGAGCCCCCGUCAAUUCCUUUGAGUUUUAAUCUUGCGACCGUACUCCCCAGGCGGUACACUUAUCAAUUUUUCUUCGACCCCGGGGGCGUGAGAGCCUCCGUGAUCUAGUGUACAUCGUUUAGGGCGUGGACUAC
rnacentral:misc_RNA from 1 species